AUUUACAAAAGGGCUCUUGUUUUGUUCAGAGUACUGAGUAUGCAUCUUUAUUUUCGUAUUAUAGUGACAUUGUUUCAGUGACAUUUUUCAGCAUUUUGAGGAUUGAAGGAAACUCUAUUAUUACUGAAUGCGAUGGUUGAAACUCCUGCAUAGCCGGAAGACUAGCAAGUCAAAGAAGUUUAUUAACAAGACUUCAGGAGGUAUGAAUUACUAGUUGUGAAAUCUAAAGACACCACCGAAGGAUUUUGAGUUUUACACCAAACUGCUUCAAGAUGCACCAGAAUUUUAACAAAGAAAGAAAGACUGAAAGAAGAUUUGAAACUAUCCUAAGAAGUUCGUGCCUGAUAGUCAGAUUGAGUGUCCGGUUAGUCAGUCACUUUUUUAAAUCCAAACAUAAAUUAUCUUUAACUUUUCAUUAAAGAGCGACUGAGACAAGACUGCACCUGCCCCAAGAAACGAGUGCCUGAUAAUCAAAAUGGCAUUGGC